GUGCUCUCUUUGACAGCACACAUACUAAAAUUGGAACGAUACAGAGAAGAUUAGGAUGGUCCCUGCACAAGGAUGACACGUAAGUUCGUGAAGUAUUCCAUAUUUUU